rnacentral:rRNA from 1 species
GACGAACGCUGGCGGCAUGCCUAAUACAUGCAAGUCGAGCGAACAGAUGAAGUGCUUGCACUUCUGACGUUAGCGGCGAACGGGUGAGUAACACGUAAGGAAUCUACCUAUAAGCGGGGGAUAACAUUCGGAAACGGGUGCUAAUACCGCAUAAUAUCUUCUUCCGCAUGGAAGAAGAUUGAAAGACGGCUCUGCUGUCACUUAUAGAUGACCUUGCGGUGCAUUAGUUAGUUGGUGGGGUAACGGCCUACCAAGACGAUGAUGCAUAGCCGACCUGAGAGGGUGAUCGGCCACAUUGGGACUGAGACACGGCCCAAACUCCUACGGGAGGCAGCAGUAGGGAAUCUUCCGCAAUGGGUGAAAGCCUGACGGAGCAAUGCCGCGUGAGUGAAGAAGGCCUUCGGGUCGUAAAACUCUGUUAUAAGAGAAGAACAAAUUGUAGAGUAACUGCUACAGUCUUGACGGUAUCUUAUCAGAAAGCCACGGCUAACUACGUG